GCGGUAUCCAAUAUCUAAGAGUCUGAAUUGGAAGAGCUUAAUGACAAAAUCAUAUGUAUCUUAUACAUACCUUUUGGUGCGAAGCUUGCACCAGCUUUUACAGUUGCAAGAUAUAACUUGCAAUUCCUUUUCCAGUCUUUUGCCUUACCACAGUGAAAGUACGUACCCUGUUUGGAGACUUUCUUCCCCUUUUUCUUCAUCUUGCCACCCUUAGGGUUUAGUGCUUUCUUUUAACCCUUAAAGCUUGACUUCUUCUUAGAGAUUUUACCCACA
rnacentral:lncRNA from 1 species